GUGCUUACUUUGGCAACACAUAUACUAAAAUUGGAAUGAUACGGAGAUUAGCAUUGUCCCUGGUCAAGGAUGACACACAAAUUCAUGAAGCAUUAUAUAUAUAU
ensembl:snRNA U6 U6 spliceosomal RNA